rnacentral:rRNA from 1 species
GAUGAACGCUGGCGGCGUGCCUAAUACAUGCAAGUCGAGCGAACGGACGAGAAGCUUGCUUCUCUGAUGUUAGCGGCGGACGGGUGAGUAACACGUGGAUAACCUACCUAUAAGACUGGGAUAACUUCGGGAAACCGUAGCUAAUACCGGAUAAUAUUUUGAACCGCAUGGUUCAAAAGUGAAAGACGGUCUUGCUGUCACUUAUAGAUGGAUCCGCGCUGCAUUAGCUAGUUGGUAAGGUAACGGCUUACCAAGGCAACGAUGCAUAGCCGACCUGAGAGGGUGAUCGGCCACACUGGAACUGAGACACGGUCCAGACUCCUACGGGAGGCAGCAGUAGGGAAUCUUCCGCAAAGGGCGAAAGCCUGACGGAACAACGCCGCGUGAGUGAUGAAGGUCUUCGGAUCGUAAAACUCUGUUAUUAGGGAAGAACAUAUGUGUAAGUAACUGUGCACAUCUUGACGGUACCUAAUCAGAAAGCCACGGCUAACUACGUG